rnacentral:rRNA from 1 species
GGGUGCGAUCAUACCAGCACUAAUGCACCGGAUCCCAUCAGAACUCCGCAGUUAAGCGUGCUUGGGCGAGAGUAGUACUAGGAUGGGUGACUUCCUGGGAAGUCCACGUGUUGCACUCC